rnacentral:rRNA from 1 species
AGAGAGAGACAUGCGCGCAUAUCAAUAAGCGGAGGAAAAGAAACUAACUAGGAUUCCCUCAGUAACGGCGAGUGAAGCGGGAAGAGCUCAAAUUUGAAAUCUUCAAGGUUCUACCUUGACGAAUUGUAGUUUAAAGAAGUGUUUUCUGUUGGAGUUUUGGUAAAAGUUCUUUGGAAUAGGACAUCAUAGAGGGUGAGAAUCCCGUAUUUGACCAUUAUUUCCAGCUUUGUGAUACACUUUCAAAGAGUCGGAUUGUUUGGGAAUGCAGUCCAAAAUGGGUGGUAAAUUUCAUCUAAAGCUAAAUAUUGGCGAGAGACCGAUAGCGAACAAGUACCGUGAGGGAAAGAUGAAAAGAACUUUGAAAAGGAGAGUUAAACAGUACGUGAAAUUGUCAAAAGGGAAGCGUUUGACACCAGUGUUGUUUUCUCGAAAAUCAAUUAAAAAAGGCAGGAUUUUGUGUUGUAUUGACUUUAUCAGCUUUCUGCACUCUUUUCUUGUCUUUUUUAAUGCACUUUUCGUUUAACAAGUCAACAUCCAAUUCCUUUUGUUGUAAAAGGGUCAUUGGAAGGUGGCUUUCUUUUCGGAGAAAGUGUUUAUAGCCUUUGGCCUCUGCAAUCGGAGAGACUUGAGGUCUGCAGCGUAGAUCCUUCGGGGUUAGAUACAUUUGUGCUAAGUUAUAGCCUUUCAUAGACAACUUGUUGACUAUGAUCAGUCAUGUAGCUUACUCGCUUAUGCUAUUUUACCUACGCUUAGGAUGUUGAUGUGAUACUGCGAGCA